rnacentral:misc_RNA from 1 species
AGCAGCCGCGGUAAUUCCAGCUCCAAUAGCGUAUAUUAAAGUUGUUGCAGUUAAAAGCUCGUAGUUGAAUUUCGGGAUCAAUGCGUCGGUCGUGCCUUCGGUACGUACUAGCGUCAUUGAUUCCUCCCUUCUGAAGAACCGUGAUGUCAUUAAUUUGGUGUUACGGGGAAUCAGGACUGUUACCUUGAAAAAUUAGAGUGUUUAAAGCAGGCUAACGCUUGAAUACAUUAGCAUGGAAUAAUGAAAUAGGACGUUCGAACCUAUUUUGUUGGUUUCUAGGAUCGACGUAAUGAUUAAUAGGGAUAGUUGGGGGCAUUAGUAUUCAAUUGUCAGAGGUGAAAUUCUUGGAUUUAUUGAAGACUGACUACUGCGAAAGCAUUUGCCAAGGAUGUUUUCAUUAAUCAAGAACGAAAGUUAGGGAUCGAAGACGAUCAGAUACCGUCGUAGUCUUGACCAUAAACUAUGCCACUAGGGAUCGGAUGAUGUUAAUUUUAUAAUGUACUCAUUCGGUCCG